rnacentral:lncRNA from 1 species
CUAGAAGGAAAUGGGGACUCAUUGUUUUCUAAAGGUCAAAGCAAACAAAACAGCUCUAUAUUCUUGUGCUCUGAUUUUUGGGGGCUAAAUUUUAUCCCUUUAUAGAGUCUUUAAUAUGUUUUAUCCCCUGACCAAAUACUAAACAAAAAUACUUUUAAAGAGUUUGGAUAUUUGGAUGUUUAUCAUAUUCUUCCAUCUGGAAAUAAACCAUAUGUACAUGUACAAAAGUGCUUAACUUUUCUGAUGAGCUAUAUGGGCAGAUGGGAAAACAGAUCUACAACGGUACAAUCUUCUUUCAAAAUUCAGUGUUCUUUGAGGCACAGAGGAGUCACUUCUCUACAUUUACGAUGCAUCCAAGGUUAUGAUUAGUUGCAGGCAAGACUAAGAAGGUUAGCAUCUAGUAACUUACACGGAACAUUCCUUGACUCCUAUCAAGCCUUCACUGUAUAACGAAUGCUGAUUAUUUAAAAAAUAGAAGACCUGAACUUUUAUAACGGAAACAACAAUCCAAGUUAUGAACUCUACUAAAGAAAAUACAUUCCUCAGCAAUUUUCACCCUGCAAGGAAAAGGGUCUCAGAUAAUCCCUUUUUAAAUUCAUACCUGAAAAGAAAUAAUGUCAGUGAUGACGAGAAAUUCCAAGCCUACAAAAGGGUUGAAGAUGAUGUCGGUGUGCCAAACAAAAAAAGGAGGCUCCUUUAUGAAACCCCUGGUUUACCUCCCAGCACUUCUGGUUUGGUAAGAAAAGUAGAUGUUCGAAGAACAUACUUACAGAAGCCACUGAUAUCAGAAACAACACAGCCUCAAACAGCAGACGUGAUCUCACAAACUUCAGAAGACAAAAACUCCUCCCUUGCCUGGAUGGAUUCCCAAGAUGAACAGGGAAGAAAGGAGGAAGAAAAUCUAUUUGGCUCUUUAAAAAAAAUGAUUAAUGAAAACCAAGAGCUAAGGAAAGAAAAUGCAAAAAUGAAGCAAAUACUUGUAGCACUCCAGAAUUCUGGUAAGUGUGAGGAAAAUGAAUGCU